rnacentral:rRNA from 1 species
GAUGAACGCAAGCGGCAGGCUUAAUACAUGCAAGUCGUGGGGCAGCAUGAUGUAGCAAUACAUUGAUGGCGACCGGCAAACGGGUGCGGAACACGUACACAACCUUCCUUUUAGUGGGGAAUAGCCCAGAGAAAUUUGGAUUAAUACCCCAUAACAUAUAGAGAUGGCAUCAUCUUAAUAUUAAAGCUUCGGCGCUAGAAGAUGGGUGUGCGGCUGAUUAGGUAGUUGGCGGGGUAACGGCCCACCAAGCCUACGAUCAGUAGCUGAUGUGAGAGCAUGAUCAGCCACACGGGCACUGGGACACGGGCCCGACUCCUACGGGAGGCAGCAGUAAGGAAUAUUGGUCAAUGGACGAAAGUCUGAACCAGCCAUGCCGCGUGGAGGAUGAAGAUCCUCUGGAUUGUAAACUUCUUUUAUAUGGGACGAAAAAAGGCUUUUCUAAGUCGUCUGACGGUACCAUAUGAAUAAGCACCGGCUAACUCCGUGCCAGCCGCCGCAGUAAGAC